rnacentral:rRNA from 1 species
GAUGAACGCUAGCGACAGGCUUAACACAUGCAAGUCGAGGGGCAGCAUGAUUUGUAGCAAUACAGAUUGAUGGCGACCGGCGCACGGGUGAGUAACGCGUAUGCAACUUACCUAUCAGGAGGGGAUAGCCCGGCGAAAGUCGGAUUAAUACCCCAUAAAACAGGGGUCCCGCAUGGGAAUAUUUGUUAAAGAUUCAUCGAUGGGGAUGCGUUCCAUUAGGUUGUUGGCGGGGUAACGGCCCACCAAGCCUUCGAUGGAUAGGGGUUCUGAGAGGAAGGUCCCCCACAUUGGAACUGAGACACGGCCCAAACUCCUACGGGAGGCAGCAGUGGGGAAUAUUGCACAAUGGGGGAAACCCUGAUGCAGCGACGCCGCGUGAGUGAAGAAGUAUUUCGGUAUGUAAAGCUCUAUCAGCAGGGAAGAAGAAAUGACGGUACCUGACUAAGAAGCCCCGGCUAACUACGUG